rnacentral:rRNA from 1 species
CCUACGGGAGGCAGCAGUGAGGAAUAUUGGUCAAUGGGCGGGAGCCUGAACCAGCCAAGUCGCGUGAGGGAAGACGGUCCUAUGGAUUGUAAACCUCUUUAGGCGGGGAGCAAUGCCGGGCACGUGUGCCCGGAGGGAGAGUACCCGCAGAAUCAGCAUCGGCUAACUCCGUGCCAGCAGCCGCGGUAAUACGGAGGAUGCGAGUGUUAUCCGGAUUUAGUGGGAUUAAAGGGUGCGUAGGCGGAUUUUAAAGUCACCGGUAAAAUGUCCGGGCUAAACCCCGUCCGGCCGUUGAAACUGGGGAUCUUGAGUGGGCGAGAAGUAUGCGGAAUGCGU